CCGUCCCGCCCUCGUCGUGGGAGCAGGCCGGGCCGGCGGCCGCGGCAGCAGCAGGAGGAGGCGGAGCGGCGGCGCUGGCGAGGAGGUGGAGCGGCGCCCCUGAGGCGGCGGCGAGGUCAGCGGGGAGGGCGAGGCGGCGCCGGGCUUCCUCGGGCUGGAGCAGCGCGGGCCCGGAGGGGAGGCCGGGAGGGCGGGCGGGCGGCGGGGUCUCCGCGGAGCCGGAAGAGCUGCUCCUUCUCCGGCGGCAACCAGCCUCCCUCGCCGCGGACUCCAGAGCCCCCGGAAGCGCUGCCUUGCCCCGGAGCGCGUUGCAGCUUUUGUGGGACAAGUUUCCACACGGAAUCACAGAACUCUAGAACUGUAAAGUUGGAAGGGACCCCGAGGGUCAUCUAGGCCAGCCCCUGCAAGGCAGGACUCUCAACACGAAACGCCCCCAUCCAAUGCGAAACCAGCCCAGAUCCUGCUUAGCUUUGCCGAUGUGCCAGCAGUUGCGUUGCUGCAGCAGCUUCAGCAGCCGGCCGAGAUGGGCAAGUGCCCGGCCCCUUGACCCAGACCCGCCUGGCUUGUGGGGCUGCCCGGGUGGGUCCAGAGUGGCCUGACUGCUUUGCCGCGCUGCAUUGAAAGAGGCCGUGAUGCAACCGCUUCUAAAGAAACCGGCUCCAGGCCCUUUGGCUUGGAACAUUGACCAGGUGGCAAGACCCCCUUUGGGGGAAGGUGGUGGAGAGAGCCACGGUGGGGCAGCUACAAGCAUUAUUGGAGGGCCCAGAUUAUUUAGAGCCAUUAGUUGCCCUGAUGGAUGACCUCUGUGGAGAGGAGUGUGACCUUGCUCCUGCUUCUGGGUCUCUCAUCAGCACUCAAGGAAGACCGUCCACCAUCCUGGACUGGACUGGGGACAGUGUAUUGCAGCGGUUCCAGUCCUACCUUCAGGUCCAGAGAGUAGCACUGGGAGAGUACCUCUUGGCCCCCUGGCAGCUAUUUAAGAUAUGCCAGUUGGGGUUGCAGGGCAAUGUGCCACCAGUAUGCUGAGGACACUCCGUUCUAUUUCUCCUUAACAUCUGAAUGUUACGGAGAGACCGCACAGUCCUGGGGUCAUUUCCUGCCUGCCUCCCAGUGCCAUUGCUGCCUCCCAUGGGAGCAAGUUCCAUAGUUCACACUAUGCUGUGUGAAGAAGAACUUUCUUUUAUCUGUCCUGAAUUUUUCAAUUUUUCAGUAUCCGUGAGUUGUCAUGUUAUAAGAGAGAGAGGAAAACAUUGCCACCCACUUUUGCUCAGGUCCUGCUUCCAAGCGUCCCACAGGGGUCCCUGUGAGAACAGGAGGCUGGGCCAGACGGGCCUUUGGACUGAUCUUGCAAGGCUGUCAACUGUUCCCUUUUUUUGCAAGGAAUCCUAUUUGGAAUAAGGGAAUUUCCCUUAAAAAAGGGGAAACGUUGACAGCCAUGGGCUCUUACUAUGUCUUAUUUGAUAAACUUCAAAUGUGACUAUAUUUUUUCAUGUGUAGUAUAUAAAUUGCAGAUGUUUUGUUUGGGUAUGAUGCAUUUGCUUGUCAGUAUUAGGACAUAGGCUUUUGUGGGCUACGGUCUACUUCAACAGAUGCAUGAAGUGUGAUCCUCAGUCAAAGUACAUAUACAGACAAUUGUGAGUUAACCGCAGACAUUGAGGUCAGGGAAACGAGAUGAAGAAAAAGUACAGACCUGAUAAUUACAUAAUUAUUUGUGGUCAUUACAGCUGGUAACAGAGACAUCCUCUCAUGGUAAGCCAAGGCCCCCCCCAGGUGCUCUUUUUUAAUUUGCAUUCCUGAUUAUUGAUGCUAAUGGUAUUGAGGUGGUUAUAUGCACCCCACUUUUAAUAUGGCUUGUGCCUAAAAAAGGUUUUGAGUGAGUAUACUGUUUCAUUUCUAAUUGGUGCAUGUCUUCUUGCUUCCUGCUGAAAUUCUGCAAAUUUCACAAAUGUUCUGGAGCAGGGGCAUUUGACCUGCCUGCUUUUGUUGCACUAUAUUUAGUUAUUACAUUUAUACCCCACCUUUUGUGAAAGACACUUAAAGUGGCAUUCGUGGUUUUCCUCCCCACUCUAUCCUCUCAACAACCCAGUGGGGUAGACUAGACUAGGCCGAAAAAUUUGAAACCUGGCCUCCUUCAUCCCUGUCCAGCCCUCUAGCCACUGCAGCACACUGGCGCUCGUGAUAUAGGCAAGAGGGCCUCUCUGGGCAGCCAUCAUGCUGGAAGCAUUUGGGAAGCAUUGUAGAACAGCUAAUAAAGCAAAAUGAUGUUUGGGUGACCCGGUAUAACCCCCCCACUAAUGCACAUGGAGAGGCAUGAAUAACAAGAUGAAGAGGGGAUAUGAGAGCCACCUUCAAAUAUCUGAAGGGCUGUUCCAUGGAAGUUGGAGCAAGCUUGUUUUCUCCUCUGGAGGGUAGGACUCAAACUAGUUCAAGUACAAGAAGGGAGAUUCCGACUAAACAUCAAAGAGAACCUUCUGACAGUAAGAGCUGUUUGACAGUGGGAGAUUGUGGACUUUCCUUCCUUGGAGGUUUUUAAGCAGAGGUUGCAUGGCCAUCUGUUGUGGAUGCUUUAGCUGAGAUUCCUGCAUUGCAGGGGGUUGGAAUGGACCUUGGGGUUCAUUCUAGUGCUACAACUCUACGUCAUUCAGGCAGUGACAUGUUGCAGAAUACCUGUGCAAAACCCCCGCCAGUCUGCAGGGCCGCCAAAUUAACACGUGUAGAGUGGUAAAUAUCCACAGUGAUGAUUCAGUCCACAAAGAGUAGGGUCAAAUCUCUUGAUGUGUCUGUAGUAGCAGUUCCUCUGCUUCAGUUUGGCCCAGACUCUGUGGCAGACCCAGAUGCAGACUCCGCCCUCAUGGCAGGACCUAAUAAUUCCCCCACAACAUGAGAGGAUAUUGCACCUGCUCAUCUUCCAGCAUGACAUAAGCCAUAAUCUACCAGCAACACCUUUCUGCAUUCUACAUAGGACAAGCAGGCAGUCUCUGUGCAGAAUAAAAAAUGGACAGAGAUCUGAUAUCAGAACUGGCAAUACAGAAAAACCAAUGAGGGACAUUUUAACUUUGCAGGGCACUGUAACUGAUCUUAAGGUGGCCAUAUUGGAAUGGAAUAAUUUCAAAGGGAGGCUUACAUGAAGAGGCGUUCAAUGCUAUCUGUUCUGGGUUCAUGGAUUAUUAUCGCACUAUAUGUGUUAAUUGGCUUGUCCUGCCAGGAUGCCAGUGUUCCCAGCACCAUUGUUCAUUAACAACCAAUUAAUGAAAUCCGUUUGCAUUUCAUUUCCCUCUGACCUCACAAUUAGCAGUCCCUAGUACAUGCCAUGUGUGGGUAUUUGCCAACUGAUUAUAUCACUUCAUGCAAAUGCAUAGGCUGCAAAAGCUAAAUUCAUAAGGCUUUGUUGUUACCACCAUUGUGUGUGAAAUGGGGAACAUUUGGGAGGAAUUUAGAAAUUACAUACUCUUACCCCAGCUCCUUCGAUUUCACCCAGUAGUUUGUGUAUAUCUGGGACUACAUUCAGUACAUAAAAUCCACACAUUCUUUUAAAAAACCACACAAAUGUGUAAAGCAUUUGGCGUUCCAGAAGGAAACAUUUGAGAAUGUGUUAAGGCAAAACGUUGAAAUAUUAAGGGUGCAUUGUUAAUUUCAGAAUGUUUCCAAGAUUGAACUUACUAGAUGGUUUGCAACUUAAAGUUAAAUGGAACUGGUCAGUGAAUGUAGUUGAUGAGGUGUUUUAUGGAAUACCUUGUUUGGAAUUCCUCCCAACCCCCCCCCCCCAGAGGUUCUCUUGCUUCCUGUUUUGAGCAUUCUUCUUAAUACCAUAAGUCAUAAUAAUAUAGUACUUUUACAAAACAUUUAUAAACCUCCCCUUGGAAUUUAUUGCAUACUUUUUUCAACAAUGGUCCCGAUUCACGUAAUCAAUAUUUGCAUUUGCUGCACUUGUUUUUUGACUGGGUGAUUUAUUGGCCGGCUUUUAAGAUUCUCUUACGUUUUUCUCCCUGUUGCUCAAAAGAUUUUUGUAAGGGUUGCCAGGCUUGUUUCAGAUCAGUGUCAGUGUCAGAAGCUUGAAGAAUGACUUUUGUGGGCUUACUAAACGCAGAGGAAGUGUCUGAAAUGUGAUUAGUCAAUUAACUACAUGUUAACAUGUAGCAGUGUGCAAUUUAAUAAACGUAUAUGUUUUAGCAAUUAUAUUUGCAUAAUAAUCUUAGGCACGGUUGAAAGUUAGGGGCUAAUGACAUUUCUGCAUGAGCUCCUAAAGCAAUAAGACAUGCUAGACACUGCAUUCCCUGUGAUUAUAUGCACCCCAAGGGCAACAUUAAGGCACAAGGCCAAACCCCAGAAGUGUGAUAAUCCCCCAGAAAUUAAUUGAGUGGAAUGUUGGAGGCUAUUGAGAAACGUAAUGCACACAGAGGGGUGGGGAGGAAACUAGUUAGACCUCUGCUUCCACUUGUGCUCUCUUCUGCUGGCAAGAGGGUGAUCGCCUCAGGCAGCAAUCUGUUCCGUGAGAAUUACAGAAUUGUAGAGUUGGACUCCUGGAAGGGACCCCAUCUAGACCCCAUCUAGUCCAAACCCUACAAUGCAGGAAUCUCAGCUAAAGCAUCUAUUGACAGAUGGUCAUCCAACCUCUGCUUAAAAGCCUCCAAGGAAGGAGAGUCCACCACCUUCCGAGGGAGACCGUUCCUGGUCAAGCAGUUAUCACCCUCAGAAAGCUGUUCAAGUCCUACCUUCCAGAGCAGGUGAAAACAAGCUUGCUCCAUCUUCCAUCUGGCAGCCCUUAAGAUAUUUGAAGAUGCAUGGCUUAUUCCCUCUCAGUCCCAAGAUAUGUUUUCGGGCGAAAUAUACCCAACUCCCUCAACUGUUCCUCAGAAGCUUAAUUGUUUUGGAGUGACAUAUUCCACCAAAUGAUCAUGAAAACACCACAGUUCAUUUGGUUAUGAUCAUAACAGCAUAAUUCUAGGUUGCGAAUUAGACUAGUCAAAAAAGAUUUGGGCCAAAUAUUGUCACAAAAUGGUCAAGUAUUUUAAAAGGAAUAACCUUUUGAGAGCAACAGAAUAUUACCAACAUAAUUGAUGCUUGUGCUACUUAUGACAGUAAGUAAGCUCCCUCCCCCCCAAGGAACUUAGCAUAAUGCACAUCAGCCUUUCUCCACCUUGGGGUCCUCAAAUGUUGUUUGACUAAAACUCCCGUCAUCCCUUGCUAGCAGGACUGGUGGUUGGGGAUGAUGGGAGUUGUAGUCCAGCAACAUUUUAUAUUACUCUACUCAUGGAGAUGUUCCGAGGCUGACAGUAUGCGACUGGCCCAAUGUUGCCAUUGAGCCUUAUGGUCAGGUGAGAAUUCGAACCUAUGCCUGUCUUCCUGGUCCUAGUCUGGCCUACUGCCUGCUAGACUUUUGCCUCUGUUUGGAGAUGUCUAAAAUUAUAGUACGUUGCUUCACUGCUUGUUUUGCCCCAAUUGCUGCAGAGCUAGGAGAUAACUAGCACUAAGGUAAUGACACCAUAAUGACACACAGAAAUAUUCAUUAAAUGUUUGACUGGGGUCAAAUAAGAGUUGACAAUAUUUGACUUGCUUUCCAAGCCUAAAUAAUUUUCUUCAGUUUAAGCAAGGGAUUAUUCUGUCCUCUACUCCUUGCUUGCAUAUACUUCAGAGCCCCUGCCUUACUUACCAGAUCCUUUUGUUUCUCUUUCCACCUCCUAGACAAAAUUAUCAGCAAGGCAAACCAGGGAUUUAUUUGACCUUUCAUUCUUAGCAGAAUUCUAUGAAUACUAAACUACCGUACUUUUCCGUCUAUUAGAUGCCCCCAUGUAUAAGACCCCUCCUAUUUUGGGGGACUCAAUUUUAAGAAAAUGAGGGGAGAUUGCCCAAAGUUGUUGAGCCUCCCCACCCCCCAGCUGUGGGCAGGAAACACUCCCUAGAUCAUUUUAGCGGCAGCUAAAAAAGCCAAUGCAAUUCUGGGCUGCAUCAAUAGGAGUAUAGCAUCUAGAUCAAGGGAAGUAAUAGUGCCACUGUAUUCUGCUCUGGUCAGACCUCACCUGGAGUACUGUGUCCAGUUCUGGGCACCACAGUUCAAGAAGGACACUGACAAACUGGAACGGGUCCAGAGGAGGGCAACCAAAAUGGUCAAAGGCCUGGAAACGAUGCCUUAUGAGGAACGGCUAAGGGAGCUGGGCAUGUUUAGCCUGGAGAAGAGGAGGUUAAGGGGUGAUAUGAUAGCCAUGUUCCAAUAUAUAAAAGGAUGUCACAUAGAGGAGGGAGAAAGGUUGUUUUCUGCUGCUCCAGAGAAGUGGACACGGAGCAAUGGAUCCAAACUACAAGAAAGAAGAUUCCACCUAAACAUUAGGAAGAACUUCCUGACAGUAAGAGCUGUUUGACAGUGGAAUUUGCUGCCAAGGAGUGUGGUGGAGUCUCCUUCUUUGGAGGUCUUUAAGCAGAGGCUUGACAGCCAUAUGUCAGGAGUGCUCUGAUGGUGUUUCCUGCUUGGCAGGGGGUUGGACUCGAUGGCCCUUGUGGUCUCUUCCAACUCUAUGUUUCUAUGAUUUCCCGCACGCAGGUAAAGGGAGUGUUUCCCUCGUGCAGCAGCAUCGGGGGAAGCUGCGCGCCACCAGCCAGCGCCCCCAGAGCACUCCCUGCGCCAGCAGCACCUCCCCACCCCGCCACUAUCCGUGUAUUGGACGACCCCAGUUUUUUGACAUGAUUUUUGUGUCAAAAAACCUCGACCACUGCACGGAAAAAUACAGUGGUACCUCGCAGCAUAAUGCCUCGCAAGACGGAAAACUCGCAAGACGAAAGGGUUUUCCGUUUUUGAGUUGCUUCGCAAGACGAUUUUCUCUAUGGGCUUGCUUCGCAAGACGGAAACGUCUUGCAAGUUUGUUUCCUUUUUCUUAAAACCGUUAAUACAGUUGCGACUUGACUUCGAGGAGCAACUCAUAGCACGCAGUGUGCGUCUCCGUAGGGGCAAGAACGCGUGAAGGCGGGUUCUGAGGGAGAGGGAGCUUUGUUUCGGCGAAAAAUAGCAAGGCGCGCACACGUCCCUCCCCACAACUCCCAGUUAGGGAGGCCAGGCUCCGGGGCUCUUCGGACGGGGCUCCUUCCUUCUCCCCCCCCCCCAGCGCCCCGGCGGUGACAAGAGCGCCUGCCCGGGCCCUCCGGCGCUCGCCCUGCGAGGGGCGCCCCCUACCUGCAUCUCCGUGCUUUCCAACCCCGUGAUGUCGACAGCUGCGGCAAGUUAGCCUCUCGGUGUGUGUGCGCGCGAGUGUGUGUUCUCCUCGCCCCGCUCGAGUUAGUCCCGGCGCAGCGCAGGCAGCAGGUGAGUCGCCCUUUGGCAGCGCGGAAGGCGCCGGGUCAGGCAAGGUCAGCUCGGGAGCCACCGGGGACGCGCCCCCGCGCUCCUCUCCAACGGGCUGGAUGCACCCCUCUCCGCUCGCGCGCUUCUGGCUGGCUGGCCGGCUGCAGCAGCAACAGGGGCAAUAGGCAUCCACCGUCGCCGACGCUCCGUCCCUCCCUCCUGCCCGCGGUGGGCGGCUGGCUGGCUGGCGCUCUCGCUUUCUUUCGGGCUGCUGCUGCAGAAGGGAUUUUGCACCAGACAACUUUUAGGCCGGUAGGAGUUUUGACUACCGCGGCGACAGCAGCAGCAGGAAGACGGCGCCGACUGUAGUGCAAAGGGUCGGAGCAAGGCGAGCCGAACCGAUCCCAGGGGCUCAGGCAGCAACCUCCGCCCCGCCUUCCCCCAAGCCUUGCGCCCGCCUCUCCCUCCCUCCCAAGCACCCCCCUUUUUUGAGGUUUUUGAAGACUUUGGUGAUUUUUGAAGCUUUUCCAAAACUUUCCCGACACCGUGCUUCGCAAGACGAAAAAAAUCGCAAGACGAAAAAACUCGCGGAACGAAUUAAUUUCGUCUUGCGAGGCACCACUGUACGGUAAUUCUAAUAUCAGGGUUACUGAAGUCUCUCAUGACUACUAUAUCUCUCCUCUUGGGAAGUUUGGUCACAUGAUCUAGGAAGGAAUUACCCGGGUCUUCUGCCUGGCUUGGCACUCUAGCACACCACCACACAGUGAUUAUUUAUUUUUACACAAAUGCUCUCAAUGAUCUUCCAUGUUCAGUUUCGUAGAUUUCCAGGUUUGUCACUGGGGGCCCAAGUUGUCUCGGUGUCUAGGAGUGCCAGAGUGCCUUUCACUAACUUCCACUCGUAUGAUAGCGAUAGCUAUAACUGUUAAAACGUCUGCAAAUCACAACUUUCUGUGGUGCUCUUGAACUUCCUCAGUAAUUACUGUUGUUCUUCUGUGAAUUCAAUUUAGUUACAAGCCCAAACAACAUUAUUUAGUUUUUCAGGCAUGUUGUUAACUUACUAUGAAUGCCCUCAUAUCUACUGACCUUGUACUAUAAUGCUUCUCUAUAUUGAGCCACAAAUGCAAUUUGUGUGGUUUGCAAAGAUGGUUUGAUUAGGAGUACAGUUAUGUUUAGAUAGGUGCUGAAUGGCACAGGUUCUGAUCAGUAGAAUUAAUUUUGUUGGACAGUCCGAGGAUGGAAUUCAUUGGACAACCUGAAAUGGUUCACUGUGGCCAUGGCUAAGAAAAUCUCAAGCACAUGGAAGAUGUAGGUAUUACUGGUACCUGAGAACUGGGAAUAGUUAUUCAACCCUGCAUUGGACUAUCACCUUAGGUUUCCAAGGGCAUCUAGGCAUGUAGAAUACUUUUCCUGGAGUUACUGUUAGUGAGAUCUGAUUUGUGUUGUGAGUACAGAAAACAGUGUUCUCUUGAAAAGAACCAUCUCUUGCUAUAAUAAUAGAAAAUCUUAUAUUCUUAGAGAGAGCUUCACCAUGAGACUCCAGAUUAGCUGUGCAGAUACAAUUCAGUAUGUUCACAAAUGUGUCAACAUUAUUUCAGAAGUUCAAGUAGAUGUUGAUGUGAUUUUGAUUGCUUCUGCAGUCAAAUUAUGCUGAUUCUGCUGUUUUAGUGAAGUAUCCAAUAAAGUUUAAAAAGCCCAUAAGAUUCUUGGGCAAGCAUAAGAAAUGACAUAAUUUGACAUAUUGCUAUUUUUCACUGCUAGGCUUUCACUACUUAUCCGUACCCCAGCCAGCCACAAAUAUUCUUCUCCUGCUGCUCCUUUUUAAGUUAUUUGUGUCACAAUGAGCUGCCUCAGAAUUUCUACAUACAAAGCAUAAUUCACCCUAAAUCAGAUUGUCCCUAUUUACCUCUAUUUUUUUCUGUAAAGUUAUUACAAUAUGACAUCUUUACCCCCAGCACAGCUUUCCUAAUGUUGGCUGCAACAUCAGGGCAGCAGCUUGCAAUCUAUGGAACCAAGAUAUAAUGCGCAGUGCCAGAAAUGAUUCUGCAGAAGCCUGUGUAUAUGUUUUAUUUACACAAACACACACACACACAUGCACACCUAUAUUCUAUUUAUAAAAUUAUUUCUAUACUCCCAUAACAUAAAAUAUAAGGGUGGUAUACAACAAUAAAACACUAUUAAAACAAUGCAGAUAAUCAUUAAAGUGACCGGCUAAUCAGUUUCAACAACUGCAAAGGCCUGCUGGCAUUUAAAAAAACCCACUCUUCCAGAGAUGCCGCUGAAAAUAAAAAAGCAAGAAUGCCUUGCCCAGUCUCUGCUGGAACAGUCUGUCUCAGCUUGGGACCUUGACACUAAAUGCCCAACUUCCAAUGGAGGCCAGUUGAACUUCCGUAGUGCAGGGGACAGCUAACAGCAGCACACCUCUAAUACCUGCUCUGAGGGCUCAGGGGGUCUUUAAAGUAACCAAGUUGUUCUGGGCUUUGUGUGUCAACGCAGGAGCCUUGAACUUGUCUCGAUAGCACAUGGGCAGCUGGGGCAGAUUUCUUAGCAGAGGUGUCCCAUGCUGCCAGCCACCCUGAGGCCGCUGGAGCUUGCACCUGCCAGGCCCAAGGACAGAGAGCACACGGUACUCAUCCGGCCGUGAGGCUACCGAUGCAAAUAUUACAGUGGCAGAGUGUUGUUGCUUCUUGAGUCAUGGGUUUGGACUACUGGAGGCAUGAACUUUCUGCAGUUUAGUGUACUAGGCUAUUCUCUUGCCUUGGCUUCUUGGAAGACAUGGGGAGCUGCGGAAGAGCCUGACGCUUUGCUAAGCUCGCAUUCAUUUCAGUGAGACCUUUGCAAGAAAAUGGCUCAGAGGGCUGUCUGUCCUUGAUGGCACACCCAGUCUGCAAAUUGAGCUGGUCACCUCACAUGAGUUCUUACACUUUAAGCGCUGGCCAUUAAUUAUGCUGUUCCUGCCAAAAUAACAAUAUCAAAUAUAAUGGCUUGGAUCCAGACCUGCUCUUGUACACGUGGAAUAACUUUUCUAAGUUUUGCCUCUUUCCCCUCCCUCCGUAGCCCAGCCUGUAUCACAUCUCAUACUAUUCUGGAGGGGCUACAUUUGGGAGGAGACCUCAUGUGUACAAAACUUCCUUCCAUAGAUAGGCAUUCUAUAGUGGACAUCAGGGAAAAUGACUUGUUUUGCAGUGUUUUCUUAAUGGAGAAAACUAUUUGCAAAUAGUAAAAAUCCUGCUUCUUCCUUAUAAUGAGUGAGUGACAAUAGGUUGUAAAGAAGGAUGAGCAUCAAAAUUUAUGAACUUAAAGGCUCUGCAAUGUAUCCAGGGUCAUGAAUUCCUUAUGGCACUUCUUAAAUAGAAAAGCAAGCAAGAUUUGUUGGUUUUGCUUAUAUAAUAAUAGAGUAUUAAUCGCCCUCCCUUGCAAGUCUUGAAGAAUAGAAACACAAGGAGCAGCAAAAUAGGAAUCUCUCGACAACAUUCUGUUUUAUUGUAAUGAGAAAAUAACGGUAUUUCCUGUGGUUCCUGUACACAUUUCCUGUUGUGAUGGUUUGUAAGGGAACUUGAGUUGAUUCACACAUACAUCUAUGUCACAUAUUGAUUUAAUUCAGAUAUGGCAUGAAGCCAUGUUUUGAUGCUCUUAACUAUCAUAACAUCCAUGUUGACAAAGCAUGACUUCUGACCAUCUAGCUAACUAAAAUAAGAGAAUGUGGGUUGAAGCAUAUUUUUGAAACUAUGGUUUACACAAGCUAGUUUGAUGAACUAUGGUGAUAGUCUCUGCUCCAUCUUCAUAAGCUGCUAUGUCCUAGAGAGCAGUGAUGAGGAGAUGGAAGCCCAAAGCAGUUCUCUCCCUGGUAGUUCCCUAAGCACCCCUUCCUCACCACUGGUCUUGCUCUGGCUGGUGGUUCCCUGUAAUCAAAGACCCCCAAUGUACCCGGGUUAAAAAGCAUAUAUCAGUAUACAGAGGUUACAAUGGCAGUAAUUAAAAUACCUGAUCUCUAUCUGAAAACUUUUAUUUAUUUCAUUAAGCCCGUAGCCUUGUUUUCUCAGUCUCCAAAUGCAUCUCAGUCCUCUAGCUACUCUUUCGCAAUCAACUUGAAGCAGGUACAGAGCAGAUUACUUCUGUUUUUGAAUUUGUUGUUGUUUUCAUGUCCCAGGUCUCUUCAUGGGUUAUGAAACUCCAAGGCACGUUGGUCAAGAUCAUGUCUGUGAAGCACUGACCAGGAGUGCAACCUUUGGCUCAUGUCUGCCUAUAGGUUUUUUGCACCUCUGUGGAAAACAGCUUCAGCUGCUGUUUUCAUUGUUCCAGAAUGCCCGUGAAGAGCUUUUGGGCAGCUGAAGGCAAAACGUGCUCAUUUCGAUCUGGGAAAUGGCAUUGCGAAAACUUGCCUAUGCCAGACACAAGGGGUUUCUAUCCAGUGAAGUCAUCUGGUUAGAACAAGGACUUGUUCCACUUGUGCAUCAGGACUUCCUCUCUUCUCAUGCACCCCUUGCCCACACCCCCAAAAUCUGUUAUGGGGUUUCCCCCACCUAUCUGGAGAAGAUUGGGGUUGCGGGAAGAAAGAUCUGCUGUAGAGGCAAAAGUCCUUGUGCUAACAGAACAGCUUGGUUGGAUACAACUCAAGAAGUGUGUUGCUGAGGAAGGCAGAUAAUCAGCAGGGUCAGACCUUUACCUAAAUUAUUCUGGCAAAAAGAGGGAGGAAGACGGGUUAUAGCCAGUGCUUUUUUUCUGGGGGUGCUCAAUGGUAUGCAGCACCGGCACCUCCCCCCCCCAAAUGUCAAAAGUGUGGCACUUGCUGUAACAAUUUUAUGGUGAGUAUCUGUGCCUUUUUUUCUUUUUAAAAAAGCACUGGUUAUAGCUGUAUAAGAAACUAUCAUUGCUAUGGAUUUUCUCACCUACCUAUCACCUUGAAUAGUAGACUUCCUUGCCAUACCACAAAUAGUAGUGUACUAAUCUGUGCAGUUUGAAAGCAGGUCAAAGUGCAAGUAUAUAAAUAGGUUCCGCUCCGGCGGGAAGGUAAAUGGUGUUUCCAUGUGCUGCUCUGGUUCACCAGAAGCGGCUUAGUCCUGCUGGCCACAUGACCCGGAAGCUGUACGUGGGCUCCCUCGGCCAGUAAAGUGAGAUGAGCGCCGCAACCCCAGAGUCGGUCAUGACUGGACUUAACGGUCAGGGGUCCUUUACCAUUUUUUAAAUUAUUAUUCAACUGAAGUUUCUGAGUAGAUUUGAGGUUGAGUGCAACAGGUAUACAGCUGAGUUAUUCAGAGAAGCUAUGAACUAUGCCGAGCAGGGCUGCUCCUAACAGAAUAUUAAAAACACGAUAAAACAUCAAACAUUACAAAAUGUCCGACAUACCUAUUGUGGCAAGUGUUAAUGGUAAGGAUCAAUGGGGCAAUGGCAUUUUAUUGCCCCAUAAUAAAGUGCCUGGCGUGCUCUGGUCCAUGGGGUCACGAAGAGUCGGACACGACUAAACAACUAAACAACAACAACAGGAGCAGCCCAGGAGUACUACUACUAUUACUACUAUCACCACUACAGUCAUACCUUGGGUUGAAGUAGCUUUGGGUUGAGCUUUUUUGGGUUGUGCUCCGCGGCGACCCGGAAGUAACGGAAUGCGUUACUUCCGGGUUUCACUGCAUGUGCAGUCGCUCAAAAUGACGUCACGCGCAUGCACAGAAGUGGCGAACCGUGACCCGCGCACGUGAAGACGUGCAGACGCGGGUUGCGUUCACUUCACGAUGCGAAUGGGGCUCCAGAACGGAUCCUGUUCGCAUCCAGAGGUACCACUGUACUACUAUUUGUAUUUUGGAAAAGGUGGAAUACGCCACUUGGUAUAAUUAGUGAAAGUGCUGAACGUCAAGGAAUUUAUUAAGGAAUCAUUCUUUCCUAGAAUGCGCUUUAUUACUAUCCUAUGUUUUGCUUCACAUUACUUCCAGAUUAAUUGGAGAGAGCUCAUAUAAGUUGAAGAUAUCCUCUGCUUUGAACAGCAGCAUUAUUGCCUGCUUACAAGCGGGUAAAUAACCCAGAGGGUCUCUGCCAAAGCUUCUUCCAUCUUAAACACUGAUCCUUUCACAUUUCUUUACUAUAAAUAACAUCUUUGAAAAUGGUUGGCAUUGGUAAUACUUACGUCUCCUAAUGUAUAUGCAUUCACAUGAUCACUUAGGGAGAUUAUUUUCCAUCUGUAAUGCCACCAUGGAUGCAGAUAGAAUGUGGAAGUGGUUAACCACUAGAAUGGGCCCACUGCCUUCGCUGUGUGGUGCUAAGGAACCUCACUUUCUUGAGUAACGCUAAAUAAGAUUCAGUACCACUCACCCUGAUGUAUGCUGACCUGGGCUGGAGUGGAAACUGCUCAGCAUUCAGUGUGCAAAAUAACAGAUUACAGAGAAAGUAUGAUAGCUUUCAUACAGAUGACUACAAAUGAAAGCUUUUUUAAAUUAAAUGUUAUGUUUUUCAUUUCAUUUUAAAUUAUUUUUAUGCAUACCAGACUUUCCUUCAGAAGAAAGGAAUUUGGCAAAUAUUACGUAGAUUUAGCUAGAACCUCAUAAUUACUAGUUUUAAAUAGUGUUAAUCAAAUAUUAUCAUCUUCUUAUGGGGGUUCAUGUAUAAACUACAGCAUGUUGAAAUAAUCUGCAUCUCCAUCUGAACAUCUGAAUUCAUUUUGUAGAAUAUGGCAUGCAGCUGCAUUUAAAUUCAAAGGAAAAACAACUGCAGUACAUUGACCUACUGAAUAUUACAGUAGGUUUUGAAUUUCAUGUUAGUUGGAUUUAUUGGAGAAAAUUGAUUUGAGUGCUUCUGCUUUUGGCUGAGAUUUUUUUAAUGUCCGGAAGAAAGGAAAUGGGACAUGCAUAUGAUCAGACUUUGAUGUGUAAAGAAGUUAAUUAUCUAAGCCAGCUAACAGAUCUUAGCUGGGGAAGUAAUUAUUUUAAACGGUACAGGGUGGUCUAAUGAGGUGCAGGGUUCAUCUAAAUAAAAUGUUCUACACCUACUUAGCUUAUAAGCGUAAUAACGUGGCCAUAGAAAAAACGUUGCUAGCUGGUAGCAGUUGGAGCGUUCAGCAUUCUUUCUUUCUUUUUGUUCAUCAUCAUCAUGUGCACAUGUAUAGAGAGGUGACUCGCUGGGUUUCACGCGCCUGCUUAAAAGUAUUUACAUGACCCGAAGUUAAGAGGCCAGAGGGAGUGGGCACCCAAAGGUUGCCCACUCAGGCCAGGGCAGCUUGCCAGCUUGGGGCAGAGGGAGACGUGGGGAGAAUGGGUCAGUUGCCUUCUUUCCAGUCUAUUGGAACUCGCAGUUUCUUUCGCUCUUGGAUUUUGAGGAUUUCUGUAAAAGGGGCAGAAAAGAGGGCAGGCAGCUGCCAAAGCAAAUAGGGUUUUGAUCGCUCAGGUUUUAGACUGAAAGCAGUGUCUUUUCUGCAGUCGGCCUGAGGCUGUGGAAGGAUCUGCCCCCCACUGUUUUGCUGAUUUUUGGAGAGGAUGCAAAACCUGCCUCUUCCGAGAAGCCUGUUUCUGUUGACAUGCCCUGUGUUUCUGGGUUGCUGCUGCCAUCGAUUUUUAAAAUUGCUUUUAAUUUAUUUGGUUUCUUCUUCAAAGUUUAUUUGAGUCACAGGGUACAUUUGUUUUCACCAUCUUCUAUGAAUAAUUUUGCCCUCCCAGAGUUAAAUGAGGGCACUGUGGGUAAAGAGAUUCAGACACUGGCCCAAUGGCCAUGUUCUACCUCCACUGCCUUUCACAAGUGGGGGGCGGGCGGGGGGGGGAGUACUGUUGUGCCCAGGUUCUAGCUCUGGUUUCCCACAGUCAUCUGGUUGGCCAUUGUGGGACCAGGAUGCUUCCCAUUCCCUUUGUUGUUUGAAAAGUAUUCCAAAUACACCGAUAAUAACAGCACAGGGCCUAAAGCUCAAUCUCAUCUAUGAAUUGUGUAGCUCAAUCCUAUGCAUGUGUACUCAGAAAUAAGUUUCAGUGGGUUCAGUCUCAGAUGAGCCUGCAUAGCGCAGCAGCCAAACUUUCCCCAUGAGCAGGAAACCUGUGAUUCCCCACCGGCCACGUCUGCUCUUAUUGCUGUUUAGACUUCUGAAGUUUAGCACAAAGAAUUGAUUUAUGAGAGAUGUGGGUGUAGGGAUGUGAAUCAAGAGGAUGAGAGUCAAUAAAAGACCAUUAAAAUUAUCUGGAGGAAGAGACAAGUAUUACACCACACCAUGAACAAAUUGCUGUCACUCAAAUUCUGGUUAUUCUUUUAAUAAUUGCUUUUGCUAGUUGCCUAGUCUGAAAAUUAAUUGCAUUUUGGUUCCCCUUCCUUUGUGUUGUCAUCUUUAAAUUGUAUUCUCCUUAAAAAUGAAAUAUUAAUAAGCCAGUUUGGAUUAGCAUACAAAUACUGUAACCCCUGCCUUUUAGCCUCAUCUUCCAUAGCUUAAAAAACAACACCACAUACUAAAAUGCCAUGUUAUCUCUAAUACACUGUUGACAGAAAUACGGGACAGCGUCUAAGAACAUGGCAAUCCAUCUAUGCUCUCCAGUUUCUGGGAACUCAAACUACAGAAUUAGUAUUCAAAAUUACAGAAAAUAACUUUAUUCAAACCCAAGCUGCCUUCGGCAUAUUGAAAAAUCACAGGAAUCACUUGUUCUGUACUGCCGGGCAAUGGCAUCAUGUGAUGAAGGAAUUCCCUUCUGUGGGCAAAAGGACACUAGAAUAUUGCCCAGAAAUCCCCGUGACCACACAUGUGCACACCACUGCAUAUGAAUAAUUGUACCUACGUACAGAUUAGCAACCAGUGUACACUGUAGGUAGACUGUACACAUGUUGAAUGCUACAUGUGAUGCACACGUAUACAGGCCUGUGCAGAGCUUGUCCAAUGCCCAUGGUGGGAGUCUUGUUAGAAUAACAUAGUAACUCUAACCCCAAAGCAGCCGGUCCCUGGCAGGCCCCCCAGCAGGGCUUUGCCCUCCGAGGCCUGGGGCAAGUGUACCCAGCUGCCGUCCACUGCAUGGGCUUGCAUACCAGUGGCGGAGCGUGUGCUACUGCCACGCAGGACGGACAUGGGGUGCCGAGGGAGCCUGCUGUGGCCGUACUGGCCCAGCCCUUGCUGCUGCUUCAAGUCAGUCCAAGUUUCCUAGAAGGCCUUUAGAGAAAAGAUGGGGCCUAGUGGAUGAAGAAUCAGCUUGCUUGCUUGCUUUCUUAAGGUGCUUUCAUGUGCCUGAGAGUUUGGAACUUUGCUGGAAACUGGACUUACAUGGAAAACUGAAAUGUCAUUUCAAAAGGUCAGCUGAGAAAUGACAAUAGUUUAUAUCACGUUUCCCACCAAUACGUUGUGGAAUAUAGUUUCACUUCAAAACCUGGUCUGUCACUUCCUGUUCAUCUUUGCUUUUGGGCAAAAGAAAUAUAUAUUAAUAUAAAAUCUCCUGUGUGAUCAAGGAGAAAAAUUGACUUGUCCAGUAUUCAGAGCAAUACAUUUAAAAUAAGACUUGUGGAUAAUUAUGGCGUGAAAUACAGCACUAGUUAACCAUAGUAACAAAAAACUUGUAUAAAUUUUGUGCUUUAGGAAAUGUGUAUAGGUGAAAGGUAAAACUAUAAUAGGCAAAUCUAAGAGUGCUGACUGAGGGCAAAUGAUGCUAACAUCUGCUUUUCAUUCUUUAAAGCCACUGUUGCUAAUAAUAAUGUAAGAAAUGAGUAGACCAUGGAUAAAUGAAGGCUUACCAGAUUUUUGCAAGUCAGAAAGAUUAGUGGAGGGGAACCAGCAACAAUUCUGUGGGUACUAUCAUUUUAAAAUGUUAUCUGAUGACAGGAAUCAAAGACCAAAGCAUUUGUAUGAGUUGGUAGUACAUUAGUUGACAAUUCUCCCGAUUCCCGUUAGAAGUAUGUUAUAUAAAAAAUAAUUUGGGUUUUCAGUCUAAUAAUUAGUUUUGUUCAGAAUAUGGUGUGUUGCUCAUAAUGCUUAUAGUGUUUGUUGCCAGCAUAUGAAUAUUACUUGUGUAAUAUCUGUGGUUCUGUCUGACAGCAAGAGCCGUUCCACCGUGGAACAGGCUCCCUCUCCUUCCCACUGGCGGAGGAAGAGAUGUGCGGGGGAGCGCACCGCCCUGGCAGCGUGAUCCUGGCGGGGUGCCAUCGCGGCUGUCCCCCCUGCCCCGCUGGGUGCCACGCCCCUACACGCAGCACACCAUGCCCCUACGGGUGGCGCGCUAUGCCCCCGGGAUGCGCGCCAGCCCCGCCCCCUCCUGCUCUCCGCCCCCCGGUGCCAGAGCAUGAAGCUCCACCACUGCUCCUUCCUUGGAGGUUUCUGAGCAGAUGUUAGAUGACCAUCUGUCAUGGAUGAUUUAGUUGAGAUUCCUGCACCUAGGUGAGACUAGAUGACUCUCAGGGUCACUUCCGACUCUACAGUUCUAUGAUUCCACGAUAGUAUUCAUAAUUGUGGCCUUCCCUGCCACUUGUAAAGCUUAGAGCACAUUACCCAAAUAUGUCACCAAAAGUAAGACUUAUAUGACAGUAGCCAUGAUAAUCUAGUAGAAAUGUUAAAAGACUAGCUUUGACCUUUCCUUUUAGAUUACGCCAGUUGAUGCCAAGAACCGCUUCACGUUGGCUCAUUUUUUCUAGGCUUUUGUUUCAUUAAGGAUCUUUGUAGAUGACUAUGUUUUUCCUUUGUUGACAAAGCAUAACAAUGAGUAUAUGAUGUCAGUAGCAUGUUUUCUUAUUAAUAUAUUCUUACUAACCCCAUAGCUCAGUUGGAUAGAGUGUGGUGCUGAUAACGCCAAGGUCGCAGGUUCGAUCCCCAUAUGGGACAGUUGCAUAUUCCUGCAUGGCAGGGGGUUGGACUAGAUCAGGCACCCCCAAACUUGGCCCUCCAGCUGUUUUGGGACUACAGCUCCCAUCAUCCCUAGCUAACAGGACCAGUGGUCAGGGGUGAUGGGAGUUGUAGUCCCAAAACACCUGGAGGGCUGAGUUUGAGGAUGCCUGGACUAGAUGAUCCUCAGGGUCCUUUCCAGCUCUGUGAUUCUGUGAUCUGGGAGAAAGCCCCAACCAGUAGUUCUUAAUUCUGAGCAGAUGUGGUUGGGAUUGCAGUAUUAGGAUGCAGAUACAUUAGUCAAUUAUAUGCCUUAUUCAUUAUUUUUAAUGUAUAUAAGCAGUUUUAGUGAGAGAAGGGGUGAAUGAAAGUUAGUUCUGCAUGAUAGGUAAGGUCAUUUAAAGUAGCUGUAAAGGUGAAAAGCCUGAUUAUGUACAGGAACUGCAUUCAUGUAACUGGAAAGAAUGGGGGUUUGCACUUGAGUAAUCCAAGUCCUUCAGUCGGUCAGCGAAAUAACAUUCACGGGUAUUUUCCCCAGGUUGUGGUGUCUACUUGAUACUGUCUUGCUGAAAGUUCUUAAGGGUUACAGUUUAGGAAGUGAAAACUGGUUGUAUACUUCUUAAUAAGUGACUGGGAGUGGCUUAUGGGACCAUAUAACACCAGCCCUAAAGGACCUUCACUGGCUCCCAGUACAUUUCUGAGCACAAUUCAGUAGUGUUGGUGCGGACCUUUAAAGCCCUAAACGGCCUCAUUUCAGUAUACCUAAAGGAGCGCCUCCACCCCCAUCGUUCAACCCGGACACUGAGGUCCAGCACCGAGGGCUUUCUGGCGGUUCCCUCACUGUGAGAAGAGCAGUUACAGGGAACCAGGCAGAGGGCCUUCUCGGUAGUGGCUCCCGCCCUGUGGAACACCCUCCCAUCAGAUGUCAAGGAAAUAAACAACUAUCUGACUUUUAGAAGACAUCUGAAAGCAGCCCUCUUUAGAGAAGUUUUUAAUGUUUGAUGUUUUGGUGUGUUCUUUUAUACUUUGUUGGAAGUCUCCCAGAGUGGCUGGGGUACAAGAAAUAAAUUGUUGUUGUUGCUGUUAUCAUUAUCAUUAUUAUAGCAAAUACAGUCAUACCUCGGGGUAAAUGUAGCAUUGGAAGAGACCUCAAGGGACAUCUAGUCCAACCCCCUGCAAUGCAGGAAUCUCAGCUAAAGCAUCCAUGACAGAUGGCCAUCCAACCUCUGCCCACCUCCUCCCAAGGGAGUCCACUCCACUGUCUAACAGCUCUUACUGUCAGAAAGUUCUUCCUGAUGUUUAGACAGAAUCUCCUUUCUUGUAACUUGAAUCCAUUGGUUUGAAUCCUAUCCUGCAGAGCAGGAGAAAACAAGCGUCCUCCACCUUCCAUGGGACAGUCCUUUGAAGAUGGCUCUCAGACCUCCUCUCAGUCUCCUCUUUUCCAGGCUAAACAUGCACAACUCCCUCCACCGUUCCUCAUAAGGCUUGGUUUCCAGACCCUUGACAAUCCUAGUUGCCUUCUGCUGCACAUGUUGCAGCUUGUCAACAUCCUUCCUAAACUGUGGUGCCCAGAACUGAACACAGUAUUCCAGAUGUGGUCUCACCAAGGCAGAAUAGAGUGGACUAUUAUUUCCCUUGAUUGGGACACUAUACGUCCGUUGAUACAGCCUAGAAUAGCGUUAGCUUUUUUUGCUGUUGACGUAACUCAUGUUAAGCUUGUGGUCUACUAAGACCCCUAGAUCCUUUUCACAUGUCCCCCAUCCCAUAUUUGUGCAGGGAGCAUUCGCGCAGCACACCUGCGCACUGCAGCCAACACACUAACAUGUCGUGACACAGUUUGGAAAGCUCUGGUCUUUGGCUUCCCUGAGUACAAGACUUUGUUAGGACAUGUGCACUGCUGUUCGUAACGUAGAAAAUUGUCGGACUACAAAACUAUGGCCAUGCACUGCAUUGUGUGGCAGACCACAAAACUUCGCGAUGAUACUUUGUGACUUCUUUCCCCCCCACAGCUCAGACACUAUUGUUGACAUACACACAAAAGUGUGUUUUGUUCUGUUGAUGACUGUGGAGCUGAACAUUUCAAAAAUAAAUUAGGGCACUCUGCCAAGGGUUAACACAACAUAAAAAUAGGCAUUUUUAGAUGUUUGAGAAUGCUCAGCAUAAGAACAAGUAUAUUGGAUACACUUUACUUUUGUCAGAGGAACAUUUUAAAUCAGCGUGAAGACUGAAGAGGUAGAUAAAAUGAAGGAAUUUAUUACAUAUGAGCUGAGCUUAAAGCUAAACUUAAGCCACCAAAGGUUGUGAGGAAGAGUGAGGUAGCAGCAAGUUCUAUUGUCACUCAGUUUGAAGACAAGAUUCCAAAUUUGGAAGGUAAGAAAAACAGUGUUAGAUUUGAGAGAGUCUGCAUAAACUGCAAUAAAGUCACCCCCCCCGUCAGAAACGUUAACAUAAAGGACAUGAAAGAGAAAAACAGUUUGUGAUAGGAAGGGGAAGGUUGCAUUCUUCUAAAAAAUAGUUUCAGCAUUAAAUGGUGAUGCACUGUAUGUAUGCAGAUACUAUGCAGAGAACUUGAAAAAUGUUUUACUAGGUGGAUAUUAUUUUUGAGUGGGAUGAAUUUCGAAGAAGUUCCAAGCAAUUAAGCAGUCUGAACUUGUUUGAUUUUUUAAAAAAUAGAGCUCAUCAAACCAUAUCAGACUGUUACUUGCCUAAACGCUAAAAUUAGGAAACUGCUUUCCAUUAGGGAGAGGUGUACAAGGGAAACCAUCUUUCUAUAACUUUCCAAAAUAAUUUAGACAGCCUAAGAGCCAUAUUUGAGUGAGAAUGUGUUCAUCUUGGUCACCGGUGGCUACAAAGUAAAAAGUAAUUUGGCAGCAGCUUGGUGAACAUGCAGAAGGUUUGCUCUGCUUUGCCUUAUAUUAAGAAUAAUUCACUAUAUGCAGAGUUAAGUAUUCACAGUGAUCUAGUGUUAGAUUUUAAACAGGUUAGUGAAUGUAAUAAUCUUAAAAAUAAUUGACCUUUCUGAACAGGAUAUGCAUCUACACAUAAAAGAUCCUGCAGGUGAUAAUAUCAAAUUGUAUCAGAUGUCAACUACUGAUGAUUCUCUACUCAGUUUCUGGGGGGAAAACUUUAGAAGCAAAGUGCUUUCAGGACUUAUUUUCCUUUGGUUCAAGAGGUAUGCAUGACAUCAGGUCUGAGGAAAUAGGAGAAAAAACUUCAGUGUCAGGAUUCUGCAGAAACCACAAAACCUUUUCCAUAUCUUUUGAGAGAAUGAGCUCAGUGCUUGGUCCUCCUGCAUCACUUAUGUGUGUAAAUCUUGUAGGCAGGUUUUGAGGAAUUACUGCAGAAAAAAAUCUAAUCUAAUCCAGACCCUGUGAUUGAGGCAGAUUUGGAAAGUGUGGGACAGUUCUUUCUAGGCACGACCCACUUUUAAAGGUCCUUGUCCAAGUGCCCUUGCUUUUUUCUGCUCCAGAGCUUUCCGCGCAAAAACCUGCUCUUUAAAGCUCAGUCAGAGCAAAUGGCAAUCUAUGGAAAACCUGAAUUGAUGUUUGUUCUGAUUGAGCACAAAAGAGUUGGUUUUUGUGGGGAAAGCUCUGGGCAAAAAGCCCACAAAUUCUCAGAAACAAAGCUUUUAAACACAGAUCUGUGCCUGGGGCAAAAGUGAAGCACUGAGGGGGAAUUUGAACCCUGGUCUCCCAGGUCCUAGACCAGUGCUCUAAUCACUGCACCAAACUGGAUUGAAAACGAACACAUAGAAUAGAAUAGAAAAUCUGAGGGAAUUCAAUACUUCUCUCUGACUUUCAGGCAAAAUAGGGAAACAGUUUUGAAGUUCAAGUAAGAAUGAAAAAAGCUAGCUCAAAUGGAUCAGAUACUAUUGACAUUAUCCAAUGAAACAUGAGUGACAUAUAUUAUCCCUCAAGUUCUCCUGUUUUGGAGAAUUGGUGCUUAAUUGCUCUGUGGUAUGACUACCACUCAGGUUCCAGGAUGAAAAAGGCUCACUUCUAUGCAAACCAAGCCUUUAUUGCUAAUAAUCAUAAAUGAGAUUUGCAUGGUUUACAGCAGCAUGCAUAUGAUUGCAAGAAAUUGUAAAUAAAGUUUAUGGCGCUCUAUUUGAGCAGAAAGAAGUUGCUGGGUUUGGCGAGAAAAUAAAAGAUAAAAUAAACUCAGAGCAGAGAUUGAAGUGAAGUGUGAGGAGAGCAAGAUACUUUUUUCUCAAUAAAUAAAGUUUAUUUUGCUGUGUGCUUAUGGCAGCUUUGAAGAAAUGUAGUCAACUCCAUCAAGUGAGGUUAAGUAAAGGAGGGCAUAAAUGAAGAAGAGAUAAUAGAUGCUAUAGAUAGUCCUAAUGUCACACAAUGCAGAUGCAGUAUAUGUAUGAAAAGCGUAAUAAGAAAAUAUGUAAACUGAAACAUGAUGUUUCAGUUAACUGCAGAUUUAGAGGCUGUUCUGAAAGUGAGCAUAAAUGCUCAUGUUAUGCUCAGGAGAAAUCUACAUAUGAAAGAGGAUUAGUUUAUGGUCCUAUGGGAUAUAUUGUGGGUUUGAAAUAUGGCAUAUUCUAAAAGCAGGUGAAACAGAUAAUAGUCAAAUUUGAUAGGGCUGCUGAACUAGAAAGUUGCUCCAUAACUGAGGUUGAGUUUCCAUUAAUAAGGGACACGCAUGUUGUGAGGAAGCAGUUUCCUCCCGUAACAUUAUAUAGUUUACCAUUCAUAAGUCUCAGGGACUUUCUUUUAACCGAGAAGCGCUUUUCAAGGCAAGCGUGAGUUGUGUAGCUUUAUCUAGGCUAUGGAAGUUAACUGGUCUACAUCUACUGGCAUGUGGUCCUUUAAAAAUAUUCUGUGGCACAACGUGCAUAGAUGAUGAAUACAAUAGACCUGCACAGUUGAUUCCUACCUCAUCUGCUUCUUCUAGAAAGGCCACCAAAGAAGGGACAGACUGUUUCGCCCUCUGUAAGUCAAAUAGGAAACUGGGCCAAAACCCUAAAAUGUGAUGUUGAAACCACAGAAUGUGGGGUGGCACUUCCAUGGGAUUUCUGUAAUGACCCUGGAAUGUUCAGAAUUAUUUGGGCCCAAGAUACCUUAAGGACUACUUAAUCCAUGGGUAGGCAAACUAAGGCCUGGGGACUGGACCCGGCCCAAUUGCCUUCUAAAUCCGGCCCGCAAACGGUCCAGGAAUGAGCGUGUUUUUACACGAGUAGAAUGUGUGCUUUUAUUUAAAAUGCAUCUCUGGGUUAUUUGUGGGGCAUAGGAAUUUGUUCAUUUUUUUCCCUUUUCAAAAUAUAGUUUGACCCCCCCACAAGAUGUAAUGGACAGUGGACCGGCCUCCUGCUGAAAUAGUUUGCUGACCCCUGACUUAAUCCUUUCUAUCCCUGCCCAAUCAGCAGGGCCUGGGGGGGGUCACAGUUAGUGGUCCCCCAUAGCUCAUAUCCCCCAGGAACUUUAUGGAACUUUCUAGUUUUAUGGAACUUCCUUCCAGUUGAGGGCAGGCUGGUCCCCUCUCUAUUGAACUUCAGCUGCCUACAGAAGGCUUUUUUUAUACCAGCAGGCAUUUCAAGUGAAGUUUGCUUUUAUAGUUUUAACUGAUUUUUAUUUUUUUGUAUUGUAUCUUUGUAAACAGCUUAGAGACUAUGACAGCUAGGUGGUGUUUAAAUAAACAAAUUAGCAGUAAUUUCAAAAUAAGCAACAUUUAAGCAAAUAACAUUUAACAUUUUAGUUGAAUUCUGUCAUUCAUCUUAAUUGCUACUAUUACUAAUGGUGCUUGCGUACUUUAGUCAGCUAUGUUGCUUCAGUUGCCUGGGGAAGGGAAAAAUAGUAAUUUUUAAUUAUGCUGAAUAAGGCAUUGUGAAUGUCUGAAUGGAACAGCACUCACUUGAUAUUUUAAAGCAUGCACACAUUGUUCAUGGGUUUUGAUUUGCUAUUUUUCAUUAUGUGGUGUUUGCUCUUGUAUACCUGCAAACAUUGUGGUUUUCUUUGUUUACUCAGAUGAGUGGUACUGGAUCUAGUCCAAUGUCGACUAUUGCUCCAUCAGGCAGCGGAAGAGGGACUGGGAAAUCAACAAACUUUACUCCUGAACUGCAAAGUAUGAUGUAAGUAUCCCUUUUGUUUCCAUAUCUUACUACAUUCACAAUUCCACAUAACUAGGAAGCAGAAUUAAUAGAGGGCAGAUUGGUCCCAUAUAUGCUCAUUAAUUAAUUAAGUUUGGAAAUGGUUUUUAAGAUUUAUUAAGUAACUUAGCAGGCACUCUUGUUGUUGGAUUUGAAAUCACAUGUAGCUAAAAUAAACUUACAUAUAGGAAAUAUAGGGUAUGCUAUAUAUUUUUCACUGUCUAUUAUAGGGUGCUUGAUCCUAGGAUUGGAAGGAAUAUUUUCUGUUCGUUAAAUUACUUUUCUUUCUUUUUAAAAAUGUAUUAUAUUUUAGAGUUGCUUUUUCAUGACGCACAUUGGUAUGUUGCGAUAAAAUAAUGCUGUUUGUGACAGAAUUAACAUGUGGACCAUUUGGAACUGAUUAGUCUUUGCUCUUGACAAUAAGAAUAAUUUCUUACAAAGAACAGAAAUUUACUGUAAAAUGACAUAGUGAUGCAGUUCUAAUUUGUGACAAGACUGGAAUACUGUUGUUGUUUUAUCUCAGAAUACCUAGAUUUUCAUAAAGUCGUUGGCUUCAUAUUUUUAAAAUUCCAUAAUUGGGAGGAUUCCAUACUUAAAGCUUGAUUAGUUGCCUUCUACAAUGGGCCAGGCUACAAAUCUUGAUUUGGUGGAAGGCAACCUAUUAAUCAGGGAGGCUGACCUGCCAGCACAUGCCAUGUUUUCUUUUAUAUAAAUCCAAGAUGUAUUGGUCUGCAGAAAGUGGAGAGAACUCAAGCUAAUGAGUUCUUUCUCUAUGGAUCAUUAUUUCUGAUUUAUCAAGGAGUUAAAAGAGAAUGUUCAGCAUAAGACUUAAGAUUUUACUCUUCUCUCAGAACUGCAGAUGGAGAGCAGGGCAGGUCCAUUUUUGUAUUGCAUUUGUUUAGUUUUAUUAUGAAUGUACCCCCCUAACUCUUUAGUGAUAGUAAUUGGCCAUGCACCUACAUAAUUUGCUGUUCUUGGGAGUGCUGUACACCAGUAAUGGUGCUUGAUUUUGUAUAGCAAUGAGGUAAUAUGCUUAAAGAAUUUUUACACCCAUCUGCUGGAAAAGAAUUGUAUACACUUUUAAAGCUGGGACAAAUGUCUUCUUGUCACUCUAAAGAACAGCAUCUGUCUUCAAAGAAGCAGACAAUAAUUAUAACCAUUCAAAGCUUAUUCUUUUUCAGUAAAAAGUUCAGUUAUGUCAGAAUUACUCAUGUAAACACAGUUUGGACCACUUGGACUGCUAAUGUUUGUUAGCCUCAGAACUAAAUUAGGUUUGAAAGUGGUGUCGUUAUAAAUAGAUAUAAUGCCAAGUGACACAUUGUCAUAUUUAGGGGCUGAGAACAGGCACCUGGAGAUAUCGCCCAAAUGUGUCUGGGCCUGACUGAGUCUGUAGUUAUUCAAAACACCUUUUUCGGUUUAGAUAGCCAUUUUGGAUUUACUUUUGGAAGGAAGAGCAGGGUGCAAUGUUCUGGCUGCUCUUAGCUUUCUGCCUUUUUAGUGCUAGAAGGCAGAAGAUGGUGAAUUUAAACCACUGCUGCUAGUAUCAAGCUUUGGAAAAAUAGGUUGCUGCUGCUCUCUCAGCAAUAGUUUGGUUUCUGUGGGGGCAAAGGCCAUUGGUAUUGUCCAGAAGAGUGAAUGGGUGAUUGCUCCCUCCCUGACUAAUUACCUACUUAGAAGCCUUUAAGAGUUCAGUGUACCUGGCUCUUGUCCAGUGGGUCUUCUUUUUUGGGUGGUGGGAUUGUAUUGCUAUCCAUAUCUUUAUUCCUUGUUACAUAUUUCUUAGUCUUGAGAAGUUAAUGUUUCCUAUCCCAGUAGACAGAUGUUAUACCAGCCUGGAACACCUGGCACGUACAGAUAUUACGACUUGCUGCAACUGUGGGUUUACACCACCCUGUGUGCAGUGGCAAUUGCCAUGCAGUACCCAAGCAGUUGUGGAAUUAUUUCCAAAAAUCACACGAAAGAAGAUCCUCCUUGUGCAUUAGAAUGCUUGCACACUGGCUUAUUCUUGGCUGUUUGGUAGAGGGCGUCUCUGCAUGACAAUUUCUAAAAUACUAAAGCAGAGAGUUUCAAAGUGCAUCAAAAGCACGUCAUGUAUAGUAGUAGCACAGAGAAAAGCUCAUAAUGGGGUUCCAUAAUUUAGAAGUUCCAAUUAAAAAAAAAAAAAAAACUUUGUGUGACUGACCUGUAUGUCAAGGACUGUGAUCCAAACACCCAUUGCCCCAGGUAUUCAGUAGCCUGCACAUAAAUAUCCAAUUAUAUGGGAAACCCAAACACUAUUGGCAUAGUAGCACUUAAUCAGUGCCAUGCUGGAGAAAAUAUGCCACAGCAAAGUAUGUCAGUGGGAAACUCUAGGAUUCACUCAUAAAGUUUCUCUGACUUAAGUGAGGCUCUGACGCCUUGCUAGGAAAUGAUACAAUUAUGUUUCAUUUCAAAUACAUUUUUUAUCUUAGGUUUCCUUUCCCUUGGCAAUUCUUGGACUUUUUAAAGUUAGUUUCCCUAAAAGCGUUUAUCUAAAUUGAAUAAUUCAUAUUUUGAUAUUCAGACUGGGAGGAAAUAUAACAGAACAUUACUUGGGCUUGGAAAUCAAAGGAAGGACGUGAGUCUAGUGAGCUGUUGUAGGCCAAACUGAUUCUUUGGGCAAGUAGCAGAGAAGCUUUUAUUUUUAUAUAAUUGCUGACUUCCUGAUUAAGCACUUUCUUAACUCCCCUCCCUGCCAGUAUACACACAAUUCCUGUCAGUGCAGAAGUUAUUAUUGGCUAUGUAAGUGAAGACCUAGACAUCUUCAUAGUGUUUUGGACCUAGUGCUGUUUCUACUUUUAAAAGCAAUCCAAACAAGUAGACUUUGAUUCUGAGAUACAUUUCACCAACUCUUCUGUUGACUUCACUGGAGCUGGUGGAAUUCUUCCAGUAGGUUUAUUUGUGUGCAUUUUUCUUGAAAAAAAUAUACUAUUAGCAAAUAAUAAUUACAUGUCAGGAAUAGACUGUGGACAUAAAUAUUAAAAUUGUUUCCUUUGGCUUCUGCUCUAUAAUAGGUUGCCACAAGAACUUAUCUAGAAUCCUUCAGGAACUUAAAAAAAAACUGCACCACGUAAUUUACAGGCUACUUCUAAAAUGCAUUUAUUUGAGGUAUAUUGAUUUCACUGAAACCUUCCUCCAUCUUUGCAUCAUUAGGAAGCAAUAUUGUUCUGUAUAGAACUAAUUUUGAUCUUGUUCACAUACGAUUGACCAUUAGUUUAUUUUAGGCCUGUUACUUGCCAGACCUGCUAGCCACCCCAUGACUUAAUUACUUACAGGCCGGGUUUGGACAUAAAAGUAGGGUUUGAUUAACCAUAUUGUGCACAAGCUUCAAGCCGGAGAAUGCAGGUCAAAUGCUGCUACUUCCAUUCUCUCUCAGUUGAAGAGGGGCCAAACCACAGAGCGGCUGGCUUAGCUAGCGUCAUGUCUGAACCAGCACUCAGGGCUUGUUUCUCCAAACAGAUCACAGCCGGGAAGCCAAGGUUUGUUCUUGGCUUCUUGAUAUGAAGGACACCUGGCUUGCCAGUAAUACCCGUCAAUGUUACAAGAAAGGAGAUUCCAGCUGAACAUCAGGAAGACCUUUCUGGCAGCAGGAGCUGUUUGACAGUGGAACAGACUCCCUCAGAAGGUGGUGGACCUUAAAAACUUUCACUGGAGGUUUUUGAGCAGAGGUUGUAUGUCAUGGAUUCUUUAGCUGAGAGUCCUGCAUUGCAGGGGGUGGACUAGAUGACCAUGGGGUCCCUUCCAGCUAUACAGUUCUAUGAUUCUGUGAGCUAAAUAUUUGGCUCCAUGGCUGCAGUAACCAAUCAAGGACACAAGGCAUAGCAGCAAAAUAUCUGUGACUGGAUUUCAUGCUGUUUUUAAAAUAAGUUUAAUAGCAACUGGGGGUGCUCCAUUUGGGACUGCAGCAGUUUGGAAGAUGCACUUUAACUCUUCCCUUGGGCUGGUUUGAGGAUUUAAAAAACCCCUCCCCCCACUACUAUUUGUCUUCUGGGAUGAAAUGUACAUUGAGUGAUGAAACCAAAUAAAGAAGUUCAAGUGACUUUUCUGAUUCUCUCCCUCUUGUUUUGCAGUACAAUUUUGGCAGGCAUCUACUAGAAUUACAAUUUAAUGAUUAGUCUUCAAUUGUCAUUAAUUGUGUACUACAGGCAAAAUGUGUGGGUGUGGGUAAAUUAAAACUCAAGCCAUAUUUGAUUCUACUGUGUUAAGAGGCUCCAGGUUUUUAGUCUUAUUUUAGAUUGUCUUUUCGUGUUGAAGCAUCACAUUAAGUAAAUGGCAAAUAUAAUGAGAGUAUUUUGUGUUUUCAUCAAGCUGAUUAUAUGAUUAUAUUAUAAUCAGCAGGAUGAAGCCACAACAUAUCCAUCCUACUAUGCUAUUAUUCCUACAACUUUUAAAAUUGUACCCACAGUGCAGAGCCCUUUGUAGACAUGGAGGUGCUGGGGUGUGUAUGUCCUUUGGCGCAGGCAUCCUUUUGCUCCUGUGGAGCCGCCCAUUAAUUGACGUGAAUAGGAAAACUCUUCUAAGUAGCAAACAUCUAUGUGCAAAUUAAUUUCUUCACCUGGAAGGAACCGCUGAACGAGGGCAUGUGGCCGUUAAGUCAUGGCCAAGGUGGGGUUUGUUUUUUCCCAGGAAGAGGGCAUCUUCCAUGGGGCUCAGGGCACGACAGAGGAAAAAGUGGGCAGACCAACUCUCACUUGUAGGCAACAACCCAGUCAGAGGUUUCUGUACAAAUGUGGGCACACACAUCAGUCACCCCCACCUUGAUGUAUGUGGACUGACACAUUCCUGCCAGGCAGAAGGCCCUGAGGAGCAUGUGAGGGUUAUGGCCUGGGGUGAGUUAGAAGGCUAGAGAAAGGCCUGGAGUCAGACUGCCCUUGGUCUGAGGUUCCCCACCCAUGGGCUGGACCAGCCUUUCUCCACCGUGGGUCCCCAGAUGUUGUUGGACUGCAUCUCUCUUAGGCAGCAGGGACAGUGGUCAGGGAUGAUGUGAACUGUAGCUCAAGAACACCUUGGGAACCUGGGGUUGAGAAAGGCUGGGUUAGACUGAAGUUGCUUAAUGACAAGAGAAAGAGAAUGGGGGACUGUUAAGCUAUCUGCUGUUUAUAACAGUAGUUACCAUAUUUGUGUUAACGGCAUUUUACGUUAUAAAAAGUUGAAAUCCAGAUGUAAUGUACUACAUUUUGUUGCCACUAUAAAAUAUAUACUGUACAUUAAAAUCAAUUGGAGAUGGACAGAGGCUAAUAUAGUCAAUUUAACAUUGGAUUAAUAUGUUUUAAAAUGUUAGUUCUUCAUGUUCUUGUGAUGAUUAAAACAGUUGUUUUCCUUAAAGUAUUUACAUAUGCUGAGUUCUCUAACCUAGGAAUCUCAGUGUUUUGUCAAAAGGAAUAAAAGAACUUCCAAAACGAGGGGCUUGGGUUUCAGUAAUUUCUACUGGGGGAUUAAGCCAGAAGACGCAAUAACAUCCAAAACAGAAGAAACAUUAUCAACUGCUAGAACAGUUUUUGAUGCCAAGGAAUGCACAAACAUGGGAGCAAACAUUAUACUAACACAUCCAAGACGUCACAAUAACUGAAGGAAAGGAACAAGGGUAGAUUACACCAAAUAAGAACAGCACAAGCUCACAGCAAAUAUUACUUGUGCCUUUCAAAAAAAUAUUGUGUAAUACUAAGUAUUUGCUUAUAGCAACUUCUGCCUUUUUCUCUUGCAGGCUUUUUAUUCUUCCCUAGUACUACCUGCUGUUUUAAAUAAGAGUUUAAAUUAUUGGUUUGAUUUUUAUCAUUCAUUGAUUUUUGUGCAUUAAACAUUUUGGUAAAGUAAAAUGUUCAAGUCCCCCAUCCAGUGUAAAAAAAGAAUUCUAACUAAAACUGAAUGAAGAUUCUGGAGUCAGUCAUCAAUUUGCCGACUUUCUCUUUGUGGUGGGUGAUUUCCCAGCAUCUUCAGGAAUAGCUUGAUCCUUUUAACUUUCUAAAGUAGGGGUAGCCAAGGGAUUGGAUGUGGAACCAGUUCUGACCCACAUGGUUACCAGAUAGAAUUUUCGUUAAGCUGAGAUAGGUUUGGCUUAAGUUUUACUCAUAGAGAGGAAAGAAACCCUGUGAAAUUCCGAGAGAUUUCUUCAAAAAUUUAUAUGCAGUGCCUCAGUCAUAUCAAUAUGCAUAUUUUCCAUGCCUGUUGUGGAGCAUUUAAAGGUAGUGACUUUAUUGUGCAGAUUACCCAGAAAAUAGCUUGGCUGUGGAGCAAAAUAUACUUCAACUAUGAAAACGCAUAGGUUGCCAACCCUGUACCACUGACAACCCAUCUUCUAGCUUGGAUGUGACCUUCUGUGCUUUAGCUUUGCUAAUUCCUCAUUAUGCUUCCUAAAAUUGAAACCAUUGAAAUCUGUAUGUCAUUUUUGUUAUGUCCAUCAGUAACAUCAUCUCCCUCUCUCUCUUGAGUUAAUUUUGGAUAACGUUGGAAGGAAAUGGCAGUAAUGAUCUUGCCCAUGAGAGUGUUGGUUAACCAGGCUGUAAUUUGAGGUUGUACAGGAUUUCUCCAUUCCAUUCUGUCCUUGUUUACCAUGUUUGAACCCAGAAGCUUUGCUGAGACUGCAUUGUGCAAAAAUAACUUAAAGUCUGAAUGAGUUGUUUACGACCUUUUUCUUGUGCUUAUAAAGAGACAUGGGGUCAGGGAGCAAAUUUGCUUGGAAUUCCCCAUAACAUCAACUAGGGUCUAUCAGAACAGGCAAACAAUGUUACAUGCACAUUCAUGCAAUUUCACCAGAUCUGUUGGGGUGUUGGCAAAUUUUGUUUUCCUCUCCAAUCUCCUUUUUUGAAAACAUACUGUGGAGAUCAAACUUUUACAGAUAGCAGCUAACUCAGCUGAGAUGUGGCUUACUUUGGUUUAGAGUUGCUUCUCUGGUAGAAUGAAAGUUGUGUAGCCUCCACUUGUUCUGGUUCUUUUUCUAACUUCCUUUGUUUCACAGAAACAGUGGACACUUCAAAAUUGCAAUUUUAUUAAUACAUAGCCCCUAACAGAGCUUUAGUCCAGUGCUUGCUGUCAUGAGUGUACACAGAGGUAAGUCAUACCUCCUCAGCAAUGACUAGAAGCCCAGGUCUCUGCUCGUUCACCAAUGCUCUCUCAGUUCUGUUUUUAAAAAACCACAUGCACACGCACAAACAAGCCAACAGUAAAUGAGUUGUGAAAAAACUAACAUUUUUAGGCACCACAAAAGGCUUUAGCCCUGUGCUUACUCUCAGGAACAAGCCUCACAGAAGACAAUGCUUACUUCUGAAUAAACUGAAUAGGAUUGUGUUAGUAAUACCAGUGCUAGGAAAGUUUAUCUUAAAAAGGAACAAAGCUCACCCAAAUGCACUUUUUUGUACUUAAUAAUAUUUGCCUGACACAUACCUCUUAAAGGCACAAGAGUGUUUCUCUCCCUAAUCCAAGCAAAGGACACCAAUUAAGAGUAAAAAGAAAAGAAAACACAUUUGGGCAACUUGAUAAUGUAUUUUUAAAUGUAAAAAUAUUUAAGAUGAGCAUCUAUAUUUGUAGAAAUGUAAUAAUUGGAGUGCUGGGAUAGGGCCUGGAAGACUAGAGUUCAAUUCCAUACCCACUUAAAUGAACACAGUAUGGCUUACUUCUCAGUAAAAGGAGUAAGAUUAUGUUAGUAACCACAGCUAAAUGAUGCCUACUCCUCAGUAUAGUUGACUAUUACAUGUGUGAAACUGUAUCACUCCUAUGGAGAAAACAGCACGUACUCGAUUCAGUAAUAUUCCUUUAUAUUUCAGCUACACCUGGCUUAUUCCCUGGUAUGCAAAAAGAACCUCCUUGAUUGGCAACCAUGGGUAAUAAUCAUUGGCUAAAGAUCUCCAGACUUUAUCACCCCCCCCCCACAAACUUUAAGCUCCUAUUGCUCAGAGAAAAAGAUACGGCUGGUGGGGAAAAACAGGAAGUCAGAAUCUAAUAAACCCAAACUUUUCACACCUUAUGAUCACUUCAAAAUACUUUGGAAGCAAGUUCCCCCAGUCCUCCACUGGGGCUAGCACCCAGACCGUCACACAAAGGGAAGGAUUCACCUAACAAAUCCCUUUGGAGGAAGUAAGGACUGCUGUGCGCACAAGGAGGCUUCUCCCCCCUGCACCCCUCCAGAUGAGCUAUGAAGGGGUCAUAGACACCCCCAAAGCACAGGAAAGGGGGGAUCAUUCUGUUUGCCAAGCUGAUUUGCUUUUGCAGACAGAACAGUGGUAAUAGUGUGAUGCUGAAUUCUUUAAGUUGUCUAAGUUUCUUGAAUUUAAUAAAAGAAGGUAUUUGCCUAACUCAGAAUUCCUUCACCUUUUGAUCAACUGCAUCUACCUACUCAAAGCUGCGUCUGGAAGUGUGCAACCACCCCACACAACCCCUGCUAUUCAGGUUACCAGUGCCAGGGUCCCUCUGUUAUCAACUACUCUCCUGCCCCCUUAUGAAAUACACAGUCCUGGACUCAGAAGGAAAAUUAACUUAUGGUCCUCUUCAAACUACUGCUAAGUUUUUUGUUUCCUUAAAAAUAGUGAAUAUUCCUAAUGGCAGUUAAUUAAUUUGCAGAAGCCCAUAUGAAAAUUUAAUAUACGUU